rnacentral:lncRNA from 1 species
CCAAUACUAAAACAAUGUUACUACGAAAGGGUAAAAAAAUUGUUUGUUACUACCUCUUUUUUAUUCAAAGUGUAGUGGAAGGCUGCUCUUCAGGAGGAUCCACUUCAGAAAUUGACAGGGAAGAAACAUCGCCUUAUGCUUCAGGUAUGUAUUCAAAAGUAACUGGUGCCUUUUAAAAGGUUUUGUUUGUGCUAAAGAUAAAUACAUACAAUAAAACGGUUUCAAUUGAAAGAUUUUCAUGUACAAGUAAGUGGGUAAACUAAUACGUCAUGUAAAUUUGAAGAGAGUGAUACGGGUUGAAAAACUAUUGUAUCUCUUUCAAAAAGUGUUCAUAGGGUUUUUGUUACAGACUACAUCAAGGUAUGGUAAAGAUAUAAAGUAAGUAAUGUUCUUAAACUUAUUUAAUUAGUGUUUAUUUCUAUAAUUAUACAUAUUUACAACUAAAGAGAUUAUAAGGGAAAGAGGUGUCAGGUAUAUCAAUCAAAAAUUUUUUUCUUAUCUCUAAUUCUGAUUCGUCUAAAAUUAUGUAUUUUCAUCUAU